UGUGCCGCAGGGGAGGAGACACAUGGACUUGUGCUGGGCUCACAGCUUCCUAAGCAAAAACAGCAAAGACCACUCCCAGCCUCCUCCAACCACAGGGCGGCUGUGCUGGUGGGAAAGGUGGUGUGUGUGUCUAUGUGUGUGCAUGUGGGGUACAUGCUUGUGGCGUGCACUCAUGUGGCAUGCACUCGUGGCAUGUGUGAUACGGUGUGUGUAGUGUGUGGUGUCUGUGGUCUGUGUAUGGUUUGUGUGUGUGUGUGAUGUGCUGUGGUAUGUAUGGUGUAUGUGUGUAUGUUUGUGUGUGAUUUGCUAUGGUGUGGUGUGUAUCAUUUGUGUGUGUGGUUUGCUCCUUUGUGGUGUGUAUGCUUUGUGUUUGUGCGUGUGGUGUGCUCUGCUGUAGUGUGUAUGGUUUGUGUNNNNNNNNNNNNNNNNNNNNGUGGUGUGUAUGGUUUGUGUGUGUGCUGUGCUGUGGUGUGUAUAGUUUGUGUUGUGUGUGUGCUGUGCUAUGGUGUGUAUGGUUUGUGUGUGUGUGUUCUGUGCUAUGGUGUGUAUGGUUUGUGUGUGUCUGUGUGCUGUGCUGUGGUGUGUAUGAUUUGUGUGUGUGUGUGCUGUGCUGUGGUGUGUAUGGUUUGUGUGUGUGCUGUGCUGUGGUGUGUAUGAUGUGUGUGUGUGUAUGUAUAUGUGGCAUGCUGUGGUGUGUGUGUGUCCCAAGCUGCACAGGGUUGUCACACAGCCCGAGUGCCCUGGUCCCUGCGUUCUUUGUAAUCACAGCCAUGGCAUCUGAGUGUGGCUGGGAGGGAGGCCACCUGCCUGCUUUCCGAGGAUCUCAGCUUUGGGGUGGUAUCAGGGGUGACAGAUGCCCCAGGCGUCUUCUCUCCAGGAGUCAGGGUGGGGUCUCCGAGAGAACAGCACUCAUUGUGAUGAGUGGUUCUGCUUUCUUCCCAGGCCGCCUGCUGUGGGCAGUGAGUGGAAUUUCCCAAGGCUGGCCGGCUUUAGUGUGGCUGUGCGGGAGGGCACAGCAGCAGCACCUGGGCCCACGGAGCUGCCGGAGCUGGGCCCCACUGCCCCCAGCCGCUUGCCCUGCCAGGGAAGGAAACGCCCAGGUUGCUCACAGGAGGGAGGUAGCACAGCCAGCACGUUGCUUCCGAAGGCCCCCAGGAAGAUCACAGGUGCAGCAGGAGCAAGGCCAGGCUGGUGAGAGUGCAGCGUCGCUACUGCCCUCUACAGAGCUCUGUGCAUGCUCAUCCCCCACCUUGACAUAG
rnacentral:lncRNA from 1 species